GAAAAUCGGGUUUCGGGCAAUGUGCAACACAGCCUGAUUAUCACAAAAUACAGAAACAAAAGUCAAAGGAGUAAGACCAAAAUCAGCAAGUAAUCGAACCAACCAAGAAAUCUCAGUUGUAAUUUUCCGGAGAGCACGGGUAGUCAGAGGGGUGAAGAUAUAUGGGAUGAUUGAUCGGAACUUGAGCAGAAGCAGAAGUUUGAGUCCACGCAGAAGUCAUUACACCUGUCGAAAAGAACUUUAAGUAGAGAAUAGAUGAUACCGUUCUUCUUCAAAGCUUGAAGAAGUAAGAGCCUUGAUCGAUAAUGUUGAAAAAAUCGAUUUCACAAACUUAAGCAGAAGCCAGUGCUGAAAUGACCAAAAAAAAAAACAAAUGCAAAGUGAACUUCACCGCACAACCUUCCCAGUUCGAGUUAGAAAAAACAGUUGCCGGCGACAGCAGGAAACUCCGAGCAACUUCGAAAAGAUCACCAAAACAGGUCGAGGGUACCACCGCUCGAUAGAGAAUGACGAGAUCUCUCAGGAUCUUUGCUUUGAUACCAUGUAAACUCACGUAUAAGUGGAGAAUUUGAAGAAAAAAAACUAGGAAGGAAACUCUACUUCAUAGAACAUUCUAGAGCGAGAAACGAAUCAGAUAUUUUCAUUGAGAAAAAUGACAAAAGUAGUAAAGUUACAGGGCUGAAUCAUCCUUU
rnacentral:lncRNA from 1 species